AUCCGGGGUGAGGACAGUGUCUGGUGGGUAGUUUGACUGGGGCGGUCUCCUCCCAAAGAGUAACGGAGGAGCACGAAGGUUAGCUAAUCACGGUCGGACAUCGUGAGGUUAGUGCAAAGGCAUAAGCUAGCUUGACUGCGAGAGUGACGGCUCGAGCAGGUACGAAAGUAGGUCUUAGUGAUCCGGUGGUUCUGAAUGGAAGGGCCAUCGCUCAACGGAUAAAAGGUACUCCGGGGAUAACAGGCUGAUACCGCCCAAGAGUUCAUAUCGACGGCGGUGUUUGGCACCUCGAUGUCGGCUCAUCACAUCCUGGGGCUGAAGUAGGUCCCAAGGGUAUGGCUGUUCGCCAUUUAAAGUGGUACGCGAGCUGGGUUUAGAACGUCGUGAGACAGUUCGGUCCCUAUCUGCCGUGGGCGUUGGAAGAUUGAGAGGGGUUGCUCCUAGUACGAGAGGACCGGAGUGAACGCACCACUGGUGUUCGGGUUGUCAUGCCAAUGGCAUUGCCCGGUAGCUAAGUGCGGAAAAGAUAAGCGCUGAAAGCAUCUAAGCGCGAAACUUGCCUCAAGAUGAGUCUUCCCUGGGCCUUCAAGGCCCCUGAAGGAACGUUUAAGACUAAGACGUUGAUAGGCUGGGUGUGUAAGUGCAGCGAUGCAUUGAGCUAACCAGUACUAAUGAUCCGUGAGGCUUAACCUUACAACACCGAAGGUGUUU
rnacentral:rRNA from 1 species